rnacentral:rRNA from 1 species
CCCCUAGAUGUUCUGGGCCGCACGCGCGCUACACUGAACAGUUCAACAAGUCUUAACCUUGGCCGAUAGGUCUGGGUAAUCUUUGAACGCUGUUCGUGAUUGGGAUAGACCUUUGCAAUUAUGGGUCUUCAACGAGGAAUUCCUAGUAAACGCAAGUCAUCAGCUUGCAUUGAUUACGUCCCUGCCCUUUGUACACACCGCCCGUCGCACCUACCGAUUGAAUGGUCCGGUGAAAUCUCGGGACGGCGGCUUGGUCGCUUGCGUCUGACUGCUGAAACUUGAUUAAACCAUAUCAUUUAGAGGAAGGUGAAGUCGUANCA